CUGCCACUUAGUUUAUUUAGAACCGUCAACUUGCACUUGACAAGAGAGGUCUUUCAGUAGC
rnacentral:tRNA from 1 species